AUUUCAUGAUGAGGGCACUUUUGUAAUAAUUCUUUAUACCUUUCCGAUACCUCACGCAAGGGCUCAUCAUCCAUUUGUUGGAAAGUAAUGAUCUCGUUCCUCAACUU
rfam:Gossypium hirsutum cultivar TM-1 chromosome 12, whole genome shotgun sequence